UUUUUUUUUUUUUUUUUUUUUUGAGACGGAGUCUCGCUCUGUCACCAGGCUGGAGUGCAGUGGCCGGAUCUCAGCUCACUGCAAGCUCUGCCUCCCGGGUUUACGCCAUUCUCCUGCCUCAGCCUCCUGAGUAGCUGGGACUACAGGCUCGCCACCUCGCCCGGCUAGUUUUUUUGUAUUUUUUAGUAGAGACGGGGUUUCACCGUGUUAGCCAGGAUGGUCUCGAUCUCCUGACCUCGUGAUCCGCCCGUCUCGGCCUCCCAAAGUGCUGGGAUUACAGGCUUGAGCCACCGCGCCCGGCCUAUUGUUUAUUUUUUAAAGACGGGGACACCAAGGCUUGUGUUACCCCUAAGCCUUGGUGUCACCCCUCAAUGUUGCCCAUUCUCCAUAGACUGUAUAAUAGAAGUUAAAAUUACUUUUGCCCAAAAUCAAAUAUCUUGCAUCAUAUUGCAUUCCUUUUGGCAACCUGCAUUUUUCAGCAGCCUGCAAUUUCCCUAUAACCGGAAAUUUUGAACCUCCAUGCCGUCGUGUGUAAUAUUUUCUACAUGAAAAAUGUGUCAUUUCAACUUAUCUAACUCCUGAUUACUAUUUAAGGUAAGGUAGAAAUGCCAACUUUGUCAAGAAAGUUUUAGAAAAAAGUUGAAAAUAACAGUCUCUUGGUCCACACUCACAUAGCCCUUUGUUUAUAAUAAACACGAUAUUAUAUUAUUCUAUUAAUAGUCAGCUGUUUGUUCAACUCCUUCACCAGACUCUAACGGUCAUUAGGGACUUGCUAAUUCAUUUACUAAUUAAUUAAAGAAAUUUGAGGAGAAUAUCAAGAAUAACCCUCUGCUUGUUCCCAUCCACCAUUCAUCGCUCACUUUCUUAAUUGUUCAUUCACAGUGUACAUAUAUAGUGGUGUCAGAAAUGUUAAGCCAUACCUCCAUGAGAAACAACUUUAUUAACUGGAGCACUGUGCUUGUAUACACUUCCUUUCACCUUUAAUUUUACAGUCUCCUCUCAUUUUUGAAGUUCCUUAUUUCAGCACGUUUUCCCCACCCACCUCAGUGAGGUUGUUUCAUACAUUUUCAAUACAAUUAUAAUAUUUUGUCACACUCUGCAUUCCAUCGUGCAAUCCCUCUACUUCCUAAAUGAUAGUUUUUUUUUCAAGUUGAAUAAAUUAAUGCUUCCUCCUCAAGCUCAAAACUCUAUGGAUUUCGAGAAAUGCAUACUGUUAUGUCCACCAUUUUAAUAUCAUAAAAAAUAGUUUCAGUAUAGUAAAAAAAAAUUUCUUUCUUGUUUCACAUAAUUUAACCCUACUUCCUCUCCCCUCACCUCUGGAAGCACUAAUCUUUUUACUAUAUUGUUUUUCUUUUUUUACCAUGUCAUAUAGUUACAAACAUUUGGUAUGGGGCAUUUGCAGACUAAUUUCUUUCACAGAGCAAUAAAUAUUGAAUAUUCAUGGAUUUAUUCCUGUAGAUUUAUAUGUCUUUCUUCUUUUCUGAGUGUACC
rnacentral:lncRNA from 1 species